rnacentral:lncRNA from 1 species
AAUUAAAUUACACACAGGAACAUCGUCAAUAGAGAGUUUAGUUACACUGUAAAAAUCUCAGUCCUUAUAUUAUCCCCCCUUAAAAGAAGUUUCGUCCCCGAAACUUGACCACGUACCUACCGUAAUCGGAUUCAAACAUUGAUCCACCAAUGCGAUAUCACCUUUGAGUACUGAUCAGUCACUAUUCAUUUGGACAGCUCAACCUCCGAAGAAGGGGAGACACCAAGGACUACGUUUCCACUCGGACAAGACGAGGAAACAUACCAACCCAAAAUCCACGGACCAAAACUCACCGGGAUCAACACCAUCCUAUAACCUGCGGACAAAAACAGUACCGCGACUAGGAUUAUUCGAUCCCAAUUCGCAAAUUCUGAGAUAACAGUUCAUCACCCAGAAACACUAAAUCCACUCUAUCU